UACGUAGGGGGCAAGCGUUGUCCGGAAUUAUUGGGCGUAAAGCGCGCGCAGGCGGCUUUGUAAGUCUAGUGUUUAAUCUCGGAGCUCAACUCCGAUUCGCACCGGAAACUGCAAGGCUUGAGUACAGAAGAGGAAAGUGGAAUUCCACGUGUAGCGGUGAAAUGCGUAGAGAUGUGGAGGAACACCAGUGGCGGAAGGCGACUUCUGGGCUGUAACUGACGCUGAG
rnacentral:rRNA from 1 species